rnacentral:rRNA from 1 species
UACAGAGGGUGCGAGCGUUAAUCGGAGUUACUGGGCGUAAAGGGCGCGUAGGCGGUAAGAUGAGUGUGAUGUGAAAGCCCCGGGCUUAACCCGGGAAGUGCAUCGCAAACUAUCUAACUGGAGUAGAUGAGAGGGUGGCGGAAUUUCCGGUGUAGCGGUGAAAUGCGUAGAGAUCGGAAGGAACGUCAAUGGCGAAGGCAGCCACCUGGCAUCAUACUGACGCUGAGGCGCGAAAGCGUGGGGAGCAAACAGG